CAGAGAGGCUGAAACCUUCUCUCAACACAGGCAAAUAUUUCUGGGCCUCAGCAGCUUCUGCAGCAAAGGUACACAGGUUUCCUUUUCUACUUCCCUGCAAGAGUUCACGGGGUUGUUGUUUGCAGGCUCAAAGUCACCUGAACUUAUCCUUGGUAAUACAUUUUUAAGACGGAGUGAUUCAAAGUGUGGAGAGGUUUCUGGAGCUCAAAUAUUUGUCAGAAAAACUGCAAUCAUCUCCUGGAGCCCAGGGAUGCACGGGAGGAUCCAGCAGGAGAAGCAGGGGAUAGAGUGGCUGAGGAAAUAGAAAUCAAAAGGAAGGAGCUGCUUUAAUUUUGGCAUGAAGGACCACAUGGGAAAUAUGGAAGAGUGCCUCCUGUAAAUGACAGCUUAGGGAGAAUUUCCAAUUGCACGAGACAGCUGUAUCCCGAAACUUAAUCUAAUUACUGGAGUGUGGUGAGAAAUGUCACCCUGAAUCAAAGUGAUCCCAUCCUCCGUGUUCAUGCUCUGCCUUUGGAGCUCUUGCCCCAGCAAGGACUGACAUCUGCCUGAGGGGCAGAGCCAGGGACGUGAGAGAGCUCAGGAUGGAUCAUUACUGCCUAACCACCCAGGCCCAAAUUCAUUGGCAGUGUUGUGCCAAGAGCUCACCUUGGAAAUCACGGUGACACUUUAUCUGCACCCUGGGAAUGCAGGGAACCAGGUCGUGUAGCCCAGAGCCCUCCCGAGCAAAUGCUG